UACGGGGGGGGCAAGCGUUGUUCGGAAUUACUGGGCGUAAAGGGCUCGUAGGCGGCCAACUAAGUCAUACGUGAAAUCCCUCGGCUUAACCGGGGAACUGCGUCUGAUACUGGAUGGCUUGAGAUUGGGAGAGGGAUGCGGAAUUCCAGGUGUAGCGGUGAAAUGCGUGGAUAUCUGGAGGAACACCGGUGGCGAAGGCGGCAUCCUGGACCAACACUGACGCUGAGGAGCGAAAGCCAGGGGAGCAAACGGG
rnacentral:rRNA from 1 species